AAAGAAAGCAACAGCGAUAGCCUCAGUAACGGCGAGUGAAGCGGCUACAGCUCAAAUUUGAAAUCUGGCCUCCUUUGGUGGUCCGAGUUGUAAUUUGCAGAGGAUGCUUUGGCAUUGGCGGCGGUCUAAGUUCCUUGGAACAGGACAUCGCAGAGGGUGAGAAUCCCGUACGUGGGCGCCUGCCUUUGCCGUGUAAAGCUCCUUCGACGAGUCGAGUUGUUUGGGAAUGCAGCUCUAAAUGGGAGGUAAAUUUCUCCUAAAGCUAAAUACCGGCCAGAGACCGAUAGCGCACAAGUAGAGUGAUCGAAAGAUGAAAAGUACUUUGGAAAGAGAGUCAAAUAGCACGUGAAAUUGUUGAAAGGGAAGCGCUUGCAGCCAGACUUGCCCGCAGUUGCUCACCCAGGCUCUCGCCUGGGGCACUCUUCUGCGGGCAGGCCAGCAUCAGUUUGGGCGGUCGGAUAAAGGCUCCUGUCAUGUACCACCCCUCGGGGUGGCCUUAUAGGGGGGGCGUAAUGCGACCAGCCCGGACUGAGGUCCGCGCAUCUGCUAGGA
rnacentral:rRNA from 1 species